AAAUGAAAUCUGGAAUGAAAGAAUUAAUGAAAUAUAUACUGUCUCAAUAAUAUAUAAUGAAUUUAAAAUUUUAAUAAAAAUGUUAAAAAUAAUUUAUGGGACAUCAAGACCCUAUAGAAUUUUAUAUUAAUUUAUUUUUGUUGUUAAUUUAAAAUUUAGAUUAAUAUUUAGUUGGGAGGAUUAUUAAAUUUAAAAAACUUUAAUAUAUAAAGAACUUAAAUUAAAGAAAUAUAUUUUGAUCUUUAAAUUAAAAUUAUUAGAAUAAAUUACCUUAGGGAUAACAGCGUAAUAUUUUUUUAUAGAUCUUAUAGAAAAAAAUG
rnacentral:rRNA from 1 species